UAGAUUGUAGGAUUGAAUGGAGACCUA
rnacentral:sRNA from 1 species